rnacentral:lncRNA from 10 species
AGUUUAACACAGUUUUCAUAUUACAUUUAUGUGUGUGAUUUUCUGAAUAAUGCCUUUAAAGGCAGACAUUAAGUGGAUUGCGAACUCCAUGAAAGCAAGGAUUGUUUUUCUUUUUUACUCACUGUUUUCUCUUUAGCACAGUGCCUAUCCCAUAGUACAUGUUCAAUAAAUAUUUACUAUAAAUGCAGAACUAAAUGCAUUUCUUAUGCUUCGCUAUAUCCCUGUUGUCUGGUGCAGUGUGUGCAGUGUGAGCUCUCUCUGAGUCUGUCGCUGGUAAGAUGGUGAACAGUGCUGUCCGUAUUCAGUGGACUUCUGUAUAGAGCAUGUCAUUCCCAGUCUAUCUCGAUAUUCAGUACUCGAUAUUCAGUACUUAAGUGUCCAGUCAAGCAGCUUGUAGUUUUCCUUGCUAUGUUGGGGUGGGUACUCUGGUACCUGGAGGCCCCCUGGCUGCAGACACAGCAAGAUGGUUUCGAGCAGGGUGUGAAAUGUUUGCUGCCAGUGAGGGAGAAAGGUUUGCCUUGGCUAGGAGUAGCAGGAUUUCAGGCUCCACAUCUGGGUCUUCCGUCUACGUCACCACCACCAUCCUCAUAUGCGCAUAGCCAUCAGCUGUCCUAAGUGCAGCACUCUGACAGAAAAUUGUAUACGAGGCAGAGGUGGCUGUAACUAGUCAAAGUGUGAGAGAAAUACUCAUUCCAUGGCAAAGCUGACUGACAUGAAGAGAUCUUUGUGCUGAGAGAGAUUCAGCAAAGGGAGGCCAGAGUAAACUAGGAGUGGGCUCCGGGUUAGAGUUGAAGCAAGAACCUGUAUGAAAAGAAAGGCAAUGUCCACCUCAUAUUUCCUAGCAGACAUAAAAGACAUGGUGUCUCUCUUGCUCAGUCUUUUUCAUCAUCUUACUGGGUUCAGAACAUGGGUAAAGUUCGAAGUGGUACAUUGGAUAAUUCUUUCGGGCAGAACUUUGUUGAAAGGAAGAGUGUGGUCGUCUAAUUGGAGCUUGGCAAGUGCAAGGGUGGGAGAGAAAGGGAGACCCUACCUUGACUCCACCGCUCACCUGGCUGUGAAACGCUUUAAGAACAGAAACACUUACUAAUUGUAACUGGCCUUAGGAAGGUACCUGACCUCCCGUGCCUCAGUUUCCUCGUCUGUAAAAUAGUCACGAAUGCUUCUUGCCCUUCUUUGCUCCCAAGGAUUUAGUAAGGAUUUAAUGAUAUGAUGUAUCUGAAAGCACUUUAUGAACAAUCAAGCCAUAUGUAAAAUGAGCUAUUGUAAUAAUUUUGAGUCAUUAGGAAUUCCUUCAUUUCCAUCCCAGGUCCCCUGGACAAUGCUGAGAAACCAGUGGCUAUAUUGCAUAUUUUCUUUUCAGCCCAGCAGUACUCAUUUUCAGGUUGAAUAUGGUAACAAAGCUGUUGCAUAAGAAAUGCACACUCCUCUCUUAGGGGGAACAUUCUUUACAUUCAGCACACCAGUGCACCCCCAUGACUGCAGAGUACUGCAGGGUACUGAAAGGUGUCUUUCUGUGUUUACCGUGGUAUCACUUUCACCCUCUAUUCUGAACUGAUCUGGCAUUCUAAGAUUUUCAAACAUAAUCUUUAAAAGUAUAAGCAUCCAAAAUUACCUCAAAGAGCCAAAACAAAUAAAUACAACACUGAAUAAAUGAUGCUCCAGUUGAUCCAGAAUACACUUAAGAAAUCUUUUGACUCUGUUAACCUAUCAGUAUUUGACUUCAGAUUGACUCGUUUAUUUAUUCUUAAACUCCCUUGAAUCUCCAGGCUUUUUUCUUAUUUGCAUUGAGUAUGUUCUCCCCAUUGACAUUCAGAUCACUUUGAAUUGGCUUUUACUUAGGCUUUUCUUUUUUGGAGACAAUCAGCUCAGAGACAAAAUAGGCUUAAACCACAAAGAUGUUUUAGUAAAUAGAUACAUUUCAUUAGUUGCUGAGGGCUGUAGGAACACAGUUGUCCCAAGUAAUUUCUUCUUUGUAUUUGGUGAUCUUAAGAGGAAAUAUUAGUGUCCUUUUUCUUAAGCCACUGGUCUAAAAUAUCUGUCAAGCAUAAGAUUUAAAUCCCUGACAAACAACUUCUAAGAUUUUAGAAAAAGUUUUGAGUACCUUGUGAUUCCAACUCUUAUCUCUGCUUUUGAGCCUCGAUUUCUACCCCCUCGUCAUAGUCCUUACCCACCUGUAACUUUAAGACAUCAAAGUUCAUUUUAAAAAAGAAAAAAAUAAUAAGUUUCAUAGAAAGAAAACCUCUCAUAUAUAUUGGGAGGGCUAAGACAAAUAUGUUUCUCUUUUCAUGCAUUUUUCUGGUUGAACUGAAUUCUUUCACCUCCUCUUAGAAAAGUCUUCGACUGUGCCAGCUAGAAGUACGGCAGAAUGGGUAAAGUCCAGCCUUGCUAAGACAAUUUUUUUGGUCUGUGGUACCUACAGAGGAGGUUCUUACUUAUAAUGUGAAGUACAUGGCAUAAACUGGUGGAGAAGAGCUUCCUUUUGUUAAAUCGUUCAUUUAUUCCACUGGCCUAAUGAAAGUUAUAUGAACCACAAUGAGUCACAACAAUUACCAGUUUAAUUCAUUUUUUACCCUGUAUUUAUUUAAAAGGUUUGCUCUAUAAAUAUAGGACCUGUAGAUAAAAGGUUUCUCUAAAAAUCACUCUCUUUUCAAGAUGUUUUCAUUAGUUAGUAUUCAUUUAAGUGGGUUCUACUCUGCAUACCAUUAAAGGUGUGUGUAAAUGUUUUUAUUGGUUUCUUCCCUAUCUUCCACUUUUGUAUUUCCUCUAUAAGAGGCAGUGCCAUUAACCUUAGCAGGGCUGAGUGUGAUUGUCUUUCGAUCAGCCCCAUCAUUGCAAACCACUGACCCAUAGCUUACAUUACUUAAACCACUGGUUCCUAAACAGAAAAAUAGCCCCAUUACCUUCCUUGGAAUGGUGAUGGGCUGUCUGAAAAGUCCUUUCAAAAAGAAGAGUGAGCAAAAAUACUCCCUACUUCCUUUGAGAAUAGUCCUUUCUUUGAUAUAAAUGUUGCGGUAGUAGUACCUGAGUUUCCUAUUUUAACUCUACAUGAAACAUUUAUUGAGUGUCUGCUGUGUUCAGGGUGCUGUUGAAGACACAUGGCUAUAGCAACAUGUUUUGGAUGCAGUCCUUUAAGAGCCAUACUUUUUUAUGCAGGUGAUAGGCAGGUUUGCACCUAAUAACAAUGCAGGGUAAAUAUGCUAAGUGCUCUAACUGUGAAACAAAGUGCUCUGAGAAUGUGGAAAAGAGAAUGCUUUAAUUCAGACUUUAGGGACAGGAAGCGGAAAGUUAGAUUUCAACCAGCAGAGAAGGGUAAGGAGGAUAGAGAAAGAGGUUCCAAAAAAAUAAAAAAGCACCCCCAAAGGCAUAGUGUGGUCUGAAAGUUUAUGAUGAGCUUGGAUAAUCGCCAAGUAGUGUGGUAUGGCCUUUGCAAGGUAAUGAGGGGAUGGAGGUAAGGCAUUCAUGCUUUUGUAUAACUGAUACGGUUUGGCUCUGUGUCCCCACCCAAAUCUCAUCUCGAAUUGUAAUCCCCACAUGUCGAGGGAGGAGGGAGCUGUAAUUCCCAUGUGUCAAGGGAGGGAAGUGAUUGGAUUAUGGGGGCAGUUUCCCCCACGUUGUUCCCAUAAUAGUGAGUGAAUUCUCAAGAGAUCUGAUGGUUUUAUAAAUGGUAUUUUCCUGUGCUCACACACGCUCUCUCUUGCCUGCCACCGUGUAAGAUGUGUCUGCUUCCCCUUCAACCAGGAUUGUAAGUUUCCUGAGGCCUCCCCAGCCAUGCAGAACUGUGACUCAAGUAUACCUCUUUUUUUAAAAAAAUAAAUAAAAUAAGUUACCCAGUU